rnacentral:rRNA from 1 species
GAUGAACGCUGGCGGCGUGCCUAAUACAUGCAAGUCGAACGCAUAGCGAAAGGUGCUUGCACCUUUCACGUGAGUGGCGAACGGGUGAGUAACACGUGGACAACCUGCCUCAAGGCUGGGGAUAACAUUUGGAAACAGAUGCUAAUACCGAAUAAAACUUAGUGUCGCAUGACACAAAGUUAAAAGGCGCUUCGGCGUCACCUAGAGAUGGAUCCGCGGUGCAUUAGUUAGUUGGUGGGGUAAAGGCCUACCAAGACAAUGAUGCAUAGCCGAGUUGAGAGACUGAUCGGCCACAUUGGGACUGAGACGCGGCCCAAACUCCUACGGGAGGCUGCAGUAGGGAAUCUUCCACAAUGGGCGAAAGCCUGAUGGAGCAACGCCGCGUGUGUGAUGAAGGCUUUCGGGUCGUAAAGCACUGUUGUAUGGGAAGAACAGCCAGAAUAGGAAAUGAUUUUAGUUUGACGGUACCAUACCAGAAAGGGACGGCUAAAUACGUG